rnacentral:lncRNA from 1 species
GUUCUGUAGGCUUUUUGGGGUGCGAGAAAACACAAAUGGGAAACAUGAACCAAAUGACCCCAAAGUGACUUUCAUGUAAAAAAGAUCAGUAUGUGAAAAAUAUGAAAAUGAAAGAGAUAUCUCCUGAAAGGACCUGAAAUGAAACAAAUACAAAACAAUUCCUUAUGCACAUUCUUAGUCAAAAUAUUUAAUUUAUUUCAUGUAGCUAAUUUCUUCUUGGCAGCAUCAGCAAUAGCUCACAACUGUGUCUCCUGUCCAGGCAGAUGACCUCAGAAUGAGGUCACAAUGAUCAAUCCUUCCCUUCCAGGCAACCUGUAUAUUAGUCAGUGUCAAUGAAACCUACAAAAAUUAUGUUGGUACAAGUCCCAUCUCUUUUUGUCUCUCAGGCAAGCAGAAGAAGGAAUGCAUGGCACAGCCACAAUCUAUCUGAUAAUGAGAGCCUUUCAUCAGUAGACUGGAAAAGGAGGCUUGUUGCAGUGAUUUGUUGCCUUCCUACAGCCCCUAGUGUCAUCUCAAUGCUGUUUUGAAGAGAUCCCUAACCUUUAUGAAGUGGGUCAAACCUCUAGGGGCAAGAAAGAAACCACCAGAAAUUGCCUUGCUCCCUGUUCCUGUGGCAGUCACCUUCACUGGAUCAAACAAAUGGCCAAGUGUCGCCAGUGGUCUACAAACCAAAGGCAAGCACAGUAAAACUACAGUUUCUUUCAUCUCAGAUACUUAAAUAUUGCAACAUGUUAAAACUACAGUUUCUUUCAUCUCAGAUACGUACUGUAAAUAUUGCAACAUGCCUGUGAAAGGAUAAAAAUAUGUCAGGAUUAGACGUAAGGAUAAUAUGAGUACACAGGUUUCACAUACUAAGGCGGACUCAGACCAUUAAUUAGGAAUGGGCCAAACAAAUGAACCCAAAUCCUAAAUCACAAAUUUCUCGGGCACCUGCUUGGAAUUCUCCAAGUAUAUCACCUGUUCAUCUCCUUCUCUACUUCUUUCACAAACAAGUUCUUUUUUAUAUUCGCGAAGGCUUUCACGGACGGGAUCUAAUGGUUGUUGUGGGUUUUUUGGGCUCUUGAAGAUGCUGGCCACAGAGACUGGUGAAACAUUAGGAAGAACAACCUUCAGAACAUGGCCAAAGAGCCCGAAAAACCCACAACAACCAAGUUCUUUUCUUUUUAACUGGAGAAAGAUUUCCACUUAAAAGAAAAACCUUCCUGCAUGCCAGCCCAUAGCAAAUUCUGUGAUAUUCAUAUGCAUACAAACAAUUUAGUUAUGGGUAGCCACAAAAUUCAUGUUAGCCUCUAGAGGCCAAGAUUAAUUAUAUGACUCAGGGACCCGGAGGAGGAGAAGGGAUUUGACUAUAGCAGGUGUAAUCAACUGGUUGUCAUGUAUACUUUUACUUUACAUCUCUUUAAAAGCAUUUUAAUACCUAUGCAUUUUUCUUAGAGGGACCAUAUCAGUACCAUUCAAGUCUUAAAUUGUUUUUCUUUGGAAUUAGGUGCAGUAAAUGUAUUUUAUUUUUAUUUUAUUUGUAUACUGCUCCAUUAGUGCAAUGCUGCCGUUUACAGCAUGAUUAAAUAAAAUGCACACAGUUAAAUUAAA